rnacentral:rRNA from 1 species
AUUGAACGCUGGCGGCAGGCCUAACACAUGCAAGUCGAACGAGUGGCGGACGGGUGCGUAAUGUCUUGGAAACUGCCUGAUGGAGGGGGAUAACUACUGGAAAAGGUAGCUAAUACCGCAUAACAUCAGAUGGGCCCAGAUGGGAUUAGCUUGUGGGUGGGGUAACGGCUCACCAGGGCGACGAUCCCUAGCUGGUCUGAGAGGAUGACCAGCAACACUGGAACUGAGACACGGUCCAUACUCCUACGGGAGGUAGCAGUGGGGAAGAUUGCACAAUGGGCGCAAGCCUGAUGCAGCAAUGCCGCGUGUAUGAAGGAGGCCUUCGGGUUGGAAAGUACUUGCAGCGGGGAGGCGUUACCCGCAGAGGAAGCACCGGCUAACUCCGUGCCAGCAGCCGCGGUAAUUC